UGCUGACAAAAGAGUCUCAGGCC
rnacentral:piRNA from 1 species